AUGGCGCGGUACUUUGAUGAUGAGAAACCUCCAACUUCAGAUGCAGGUACGGAGAACAACGUUGGGAUUGGGCUAGUGAGGAUGAAAAGGCCGGCCUAUGGCAAGAAAGAGGUGGCGCUGACAGCUGACUCCGUUGCGGUCAUGGUGGAGCUCAACGCCACAUCCUCCGCCAUGGCGAGGGAGGGGCUCGAUCUGGUGGUCGUGUUGGACAUACAGCUUAGCUGGGAGGGAGGGGAUGUCAAGUUCUCAAAGGUUAAGGAGGCGAUAGAGUUCUUAAUCAUGAAGCUCACCCCCAUGGAUCGUCUCUCCAUGGUCUUCGGAAAGGAUACCGCCGGCGUCGAGCGCCGUCUCUGCCCGCUGAGAUGCAUGACUCGAGCUGGCCAGGCCGAUCUCAAGGACCUCAUCAGCGCCAGCGGCCAGGACAACCUUUCUCUGAACCUCGAGAAGGGCUUGACUGAAGCGUUGGCCGUUAUCCGCAGCCGCAUCCACACAGAAGGCCGCUCCGCCAACAUCAUCUUCUUAACCGACGACAGAGAAGGCACUGGUGACGCUCUCUCAGUCGAUCCCGGCAAUGUCGCUGUCCACACGUUCGGCUUCGGCAAAAACGCAGGCAUUGAGCUGCUCGCCGACAUGGCCAGGAAAUCGCCG
rnacentral:rRNA from 1 species